rnacentral:rRNA from 1 species
AACGAACGUUGGCGGCGUGGAUUAGGCAUGCAAGUCGAACGAAUCCCCGUUGGGUAACUGGCGGGGGGAAGUGGCGAAAGGGGCAGUAAGGUGUAGGUAACCUGCCCCGGAGUUUCGGAUAGCCGUUCUAACGAACGGGUAAUACGAAAUGUCGUGACGAGGGGGGAUCCCUUUGUCACGAAAGCUCAGGCGCUCCGGGAGGGGCUUACAUAGUAUUAGCUAGUUGGUGGGGUAACGGCCCACCAAGGCCAAGAUGCUUAGCGGGUGUGAGAGCACGACCCGCGCCACUGGCACUGUGACACUGGCCAGACUCCUACGGGAGGCUGCAGUCGAGGAUCUUCGGCAAUGGGGGCAACCCUGACCGAGCGACGCCGCGUGUGCGAUGAAGGCCUUCGGGUUGUAAAGCACUGUCGGGAGGGAGAAAAGGGGAAACCUUUGAUCGACCUCCGGAGGAAGGACGGGCUAAGUUCGUGCCAGCAGCCGCGGUAAAAC